rnacentral:rRNA from 1 species
UACGGAGGGUGCGAGCGUUGUCCGGAAUCAUUGGGUGUAAAGGGCGCGUAGGUGGCCCGGUCAGUUCGUGGUGAAAGCGCGGGGCUCAACCCUGCGUCGGCCAUGAAUACUGCCGCGGCUGGAGCACUGUAGAGGCAGGCGGAAUUCCGGGUGUAGCGGUGGAAUGCGUAGAGAUCCGGAAGAACACCGGUGGCGAAGGCGGCCUGCUGGGCAGUUGCUGACACUGAGGCGCGAAAGCUAGGGGAGCGAACGGG